rnacentral:rRNA from 1 species
ACCUACGGAGGCAGCAGUGAGGAAUAUUGGUCAAUGGUCGGGAGACUGAACCAGCCAAGCCGCGUGAGGGAGGAAGGUACAGAGUAUCGUAAACCUCUUUUGUCAGGGAACAAAGGCGGGGACGUGUCCCCGGAUGAGUGUACCUGAAGAAAAAGCAUCGGCUAACUCCGUGCCAGCAGCCGCGGUAAUACGGAGGAUGCGAGCGUUAUCCGGAUUUAUUGGGUUUAAAGGGUGCGCAGGCGGUCUGUUAAGUCAGCGGUCCAAGCCCCGGGCUCAACCCCGGCCCGCCGUUGGAACUGGCCGCC